rnacentral:rRNA from 1 species
UUAUGGCUCAGAAUGAACGCUGGCGGCAUGGAUAGGCAUGCAAGUCGAACGUACUCCCUUCGGGGAGAAAGUGGCGAAAGGGUGAGUAACACGUGAGCAACCUGCCUCCGGAUCCGGAAUAAUCCAGGGAAACUUGGUCUAAAACCGAAUGAAGACAUUGGUCCGCAUGGUCUAAUGUUAAAAUAUUUAUAGUCCGGAGAGGGGCUCGCGGCCCAUUAGCUUGUUGGCGGGGUAAUGGCCCACCAAGGCUACGACGGGUAGGUGGUCUGAGAGGAUGGUCACCCACACUGGACUGAGACACUGCCCAGACUCCUACGGGAGGCUGCAGUCGAGAAUCUUCCGCAAUGGGCGCCAAGCCUGACGGAGCGAUGCCGCGUGAGGGAUGAAGGCCUUCGGGUUGUAAACCUCUGUCAUCCGGGACGAAAACAAUGACGGUACCGGAAAAGGAAGCCACGGCUAACCACGUGCCAGCCGCCGC